AUUUUUCUAGUAUUAAUACAGUAUGAGUGACUUCCAAUCACCCGGUCUUGGUUUAAACCCAGGGAAAAAUA
rnacentral:tRNA from 1 species